rnacentral:rRNA from 1 species
UACGAAGGGGGCGAGCGUUGUUCGGAUUUACUGGGCGUAAAGGGCGCGCAGGCGGCGGACCAAGUCAGGCGUGAAAGCCCCGGGCUUAACCUGGGAGGUGCGUCUGGGACUGGUAUGCUAGAGUUCGGGAGAGGAGAGUGGAAUUCCCAGUGUAGAGGUGAAAUUCGUAGAUAUUGGGAAGAACACCGGUGGCGAAGGCGGCUCUCUGGACCGAGACUGACGCUGAGGAGCGAAAGCAUGGGGAGCGAACAGG